rnacentral:rRNA from 1 species
GACGAACGCUGGCGGCGUGCUUAGCACAUGCAAGUGGAGCGACGAACCGGGGCUUGCCCCGGGGCAGAGCCGCGAACGGGUGAGUAACACGUGGGUUACCUGCCCCAAUGACCGGGACAACCCGAGGAAACUCGGGCUAAUACCGGAUGUGGUCUUCGGACGAAAGGAAGCUUCGGCCUCCGCAUUGGGAUGGGCCCGCGGCGCAUUAGCUAGUUGGUGGGGUAACGGCCUACCAAGGCGACGAUGCGAGCUGGUCUGAGAGGACGAUCAGCCACACUGGGACUGAGACACGGCCCAGACUCCUACGGGAGGCAGCAGUGGGGAAUCUUGCGCAAUGCGCGAAAGCGUGACGCAGCAACGCCGCGUGGGGAAGAAGGCCUCGGUU